CGGCGCGCGCGGAUUGGGCGCCUGGGGCUGUGCGGGACGCCGGCGGCUGCUCUCCCUCCAGCGCCCCGACGCUGCCCCUAUUCCCGCCCACUCACGGAGAGGGAAACUGAGGCGCGCCGCAGUUGCCACGUUGGAGGGGACCAAACAGCAAGGAACCGAAUGCUGCCAGCAUCUAGUGAGUGAGCUUAGACGCAAAUCAUUCCCCAGCCAGCCUGCGAAUGAGACCACAGCCCAGGCCGACAGCCUAUGAGAGACCCUGAGCUGGAGGAGGCCACGCCCAGACUCCUGCCCCACAACAACCGGGCCACAGCAAUGUGCUCAAGCUGACAGCACUGUCCUCAACAGCAGCCCUACACAGUAUUGAGUGCCACAUUCUCCAAAGCAGGACUGCGACCUAAGGCUGAGGCCAGCUCGGCAAAGGCAGCCCUUUUCUAAGCAACUAACCUGAGUCUGGUGGUUUACUUUCCCGACAUGAUGGCAGAAGGUAAGGCCCCGUGCUUUAAGCAGUUCAGAACGGUGAUGGGAACAGGGGCUCUGGAUCCAGACCGCCUGGGGUCAGGAUCCGGAUUUUCUCCCCAGGAGAGCAGCCUUCAAAUGCUGUAUCCCAGGCACGUGGGGCUCGUCCCUGACUCACCGCCAACCUUUCCACUCUACACCCACCCGCAUCCUAUAGUAACUCCGGAUGCCAGCCCGUCGUCACCUCACCAGGCCUUGCUCGUGCACGUCUGCCUCGCUCACGUAGUAAGACUUGCUCGAAGCAUUGACUGCUUUAUUGUUUUAAAGUGUUUAAAAGUUUAU